rnacentral:rRNA from 1 species
GAAGAGUGCAUUUAUUAGAACAAAACCAAGCGGCUCUGCCGUCUUCCACUGACUUAAAAUAACUAAGCUGAUCGUAUGGUCUUGUACCGGCGACGUAUCUUUCAAGUAUCUGCCUUAUCAACUUUCGAUGGUAGUGUAGUGGACUACCAUGGUUGUGACGGGUAACGGAGGAUAAGGGUUCGACUCCGGAGAGGGAGCUUGAGACACGGCUACCAUGUCUAAGGACAGCAGCAGGCGCGCAAAUUACCCACUCUCAGAACGAGGAGGUAGUGACGAAAAAUAACGAGACCGUUCUCUAUGAGGCCGGUCAUCGGAAUGGGUACAAUCUAAACCCUUUAACGAGUAUCUAUGAGAGGGCAAGUCUGGUGCCAGCAGCCGCGGUAAUUCCAGCUCUCAAAAUGCAUAGAAUUAUUGCUGCGGUUAAAAAGCUCGUAGUUGGAUCUGUGCCGGAGACUCGGUCCACUUUAGGGUGCGCACUGUGUUCUCUGGCUUUUUGCCGGUUUUCUCAUUGUAGCCUUUACCGGUUGCAAUGGGUGGCUGGCGAGUUUACCUUGAAGAAAUCAAAGUGCUUAAUACAGGCGAUUUGCUUGAAUGUGGUGCAUGGAAUAAUAGAAAAGGAUUUCGGUUCUCUUUUAUUGGUUUUACGAGCUGAGAUAAUGGUUAACAGAGACAAACGGGGGCAUUCGUAUCGUUGCGUGAGAGGUGAAAUUCUUGGACCGCAGCGAGACGAACUACAGCGAAAGCAUUUGCCAAGAAUGUCUUCAUUAAUCAAGAACGAAAGUCAGAGGUUCGAAGGCGAUCAGAUACCGCCCUAGU